rnacentral:rRNA from 1 species
AUUGAGCGCUGGCGGCAGGCCUAACACAUGCAAGUCGAACGGUAGCACAGAGAGCUUGCUCUCGGGUGACGAGUGGCGGACGGGUGAGUAAUGUCUGGGAAACUGCCCGAUGGAGGGGGAUAACUACUGGAAACGGUAGCUAAUACCGCAUAAUGUCGCAAGACCAAAGAAGGGGACCUUCGGGCCUCUUGCCAUCGGAUGUGCCCAGAUGGGAUUAGCGUGUUGGUGAGGUAAUGGCUCACCAAGGCGACGAUCCCUAGCUGGUCUGAGAGGAUGACCAGCCACACUGGAACUGAGACACGGUCCAGACUCCUACGGGAGGCAGCAGUGGGGAAUAUUGCACAAUGGGCGCAAGCCUGAUGCAGCCAUGCCGCGUGUGUGAAGAAGGCCUUCGGGUUGUAAAGCACUUUCAGCGGGGAGGAAGGCGAUACGGUUAAUAACCGUGUUGAUUGACGUUACCCGCAGAAGAAGCACCGGCUAACUCCGUG